rnacentral:rRNA from 1 species
CAGUCGAACGAUGAAGCCCAGCUUGCUGGGUGGAUUAGUGGCGAACGGGUGAGUAACACGUGAGUAACCUGCCCCCGACUCUGGGAUAAGCCCGGGAAACUGGGUCUAAUACCGGAUAUGACCUCGCACCGCAUGGUGCGGGGUGGAAAGAUUUAUCGGUGGGGGAUGGACUCGCGGCCUAUCAGCUUGUUGGUGAGGUAAUGGCUCACCAAGGCGACGACGGGUAGCCGGCCUGAGAGGGUGACCGGCCACACUGGGACUGAGACACGGCCCAGACUCCUACGGGAGGCAGCAGUGGGGAAUAUUGCACAAUGGGCGAAAGCCUGAUGCAGCGACGCCGCGUGAGGGAUGACGGCCUUCGGGUUGUAAACCUCUUUCAGUAGGGAAGAAGCGAAAGUGACGGUACCUGCAGAAGAAGCGCCGGCUAACUACGUGCCAGCAGCCGCGGUAAUACGUAGGGCGCAAGCGUUAUCCGGAUUUAUUGGGCGUAAAGAGCUCGUAGGCGGUUUGUCGCGUCUGCCGUGAAAGUCCGAGGCUCAACCUCGGAUCUGCGGUGGGUACGGGCAGACUAGAGUGAUGUAGGGGAGACUGGAAUUCCUGGUGUAGCGGUGAAAUGCGCAGAUAUCAGGAGGAACACCGAUGGCGAAGGCAGGUCUCUGGGCAUUUACUGACGCU